rnacentral:rRNA from 1 species
GACGUAGGGCGCAAGCGUUGUCCGGAUUUAUUGGGCGCAAAGAGCUCGUAGGCGGCCUGUCGCGUCGACUGUGAAAAACCACGACUCAACCGUGGGACUGCAGUCGAUACGGGCAGGCUAGAGUUCGGUAGGGGAGACUGGAAUUCCUGGUGUAGCGGUGAAAUGCGCAGAUAUCAGGAGGAACACCGGUGGCGAAGGCGGGUCUCUGGGCCGAUACUGACGCUGAGGAGCGAAAGCGUGGGGAGCGAACAGG